rnacentral:misc_RNA from 1 species
AAGUCGUAACAAGGUCUCCGUAGGUGAACCUGCGGAGGGAUCAUUACUGAGUGAGGGCUCACGCCCGACCUCCAACCCUUUGUGAACACAUCUUGUUGCCUCGGGGGCGACCCUGCCGGCACUUUGUCGCCGGGCGCCCCCGGAGGUCUUCAAACACUGCAUCAUUGCGUCGGAGUUUAAACAAAUUAAACAAAACUUUCAACAACGGAUCUCUUGGUUCUG